ACCAGAGUGGUGUAGUGGUUUGAGCACUGGACUAUGACUCUGGAGAGCAGGGUUCAAAUCCCAGUUCUGCCC
rnacentral:tRNA from 1 species